rnacentral:lncRNA from 1 species
AAAUUACGAACAAUUUGCAAAAGAAGAUGGUUGUCUAUAGAAGUGGAGCUAGUGGCCUUUAGCCUUUAGGAUUACAUGGUAUCAAUAUACAUAUCGCUCCUUAAUAAUCUCAAUUUUUGUCCUUCGAGAAGUUGGAUUAUAAGAUAUUCCAUGGAAAAAUCCAAUAAAUAAGGUUAUAUCUUGUUGUGCUCAAGUUUCUACUAUUGGUGAUCUCUGGUUUUACUAAAGGUUGGCUUAACUCUUGUAAUGAAACAAGAGGUCAUAGAUUUAAAUUCAAAGGGAUGCAUUUUCUUUCAAGGUAAAUGAAGGUUCCCAUCUAUUAUACUAUUAUACUAUAUGGUGUAAUAAUGUUUCUGCAUUUUAAUAGAGUGCGGGAAUCCUCAUUCUCUCUCUCUCUUUCUUUAUGUAUAUAUACACACACACACAAUUAUUUUCUAUUGUGGGCACCCUCAUUUUUUUUCCUCAUACGGACAUGGUUUUAAGUUGUGUGAUUUAAGAGAGUUAAUUUUUAAUUAUAUUAAAUCGUACGAUUGU